CGUUCCCGGGCCUUGUACACACCGCCCGUCACACCAUGGGAGCUGACUCAACCAGAAAACGACCAGGCUAACCGUAAGGGGCCUUCGUUGAAGGUGGGGUUGGUGACUGGGGUG
rnacentral:rRNA from 1 species